UGGGGAAUAUUGCACAAUGGGCGAAGCCUGAUGCAGCAACGCCGCGUGAGUGAUGAAGGCCUUCGGGUUGUAAAGCUCUGUCUUUUGGGACGAUAAUGACGGUACCAAAGGAGGAAGCCACGGCUAACUACGUGCCAGCAGCCGCGGUAAUACGUAGGUGGCAAGCGUUGUCCGGAUUUACUGGGCGUAAAGGAUGCGUAGGCGGAUUUUUAAGUGAGAUGCGAAUGAAUACCCGGGCUUAACUUGGGUGCUGCAUUUCAAACUGGGAAUCUAGAGUGCGGGAGAGGAGAAUGGAAUUCCUAGUGUAGCGGUGAAAUGCGUAGAGAUUAGGAAGAACACCAGUGGCGAAGGCGAUUCUCUGGACCGUAACUGACGCUGAGGCAUGAAAGCGUGGGUAGCAAACAGGAUUAGAUACCCUGGUAGUCCACGCCGUAAACGAUGAGUACUAGGUGUAGGAGGUAUCGACCCCUUCUGUGCCGCAGUUAACACAAUCAAGUACUCCGCCUGGGAAGUACGAUCGCAAGAUUAAAA
rnacentral:rRNA from 1 species